AAACAUCGCCUCUUGAUAAAACAUAAGAGGUYCCGCCUGCCCACUGACUAAGGGUUCAACGGCCGCGGUAUCUUAACCGUGCAAAGGUAGCACAAUAAAUUGUCUUCUAAAUAAAGACUAGUAUGAAUGGCACCACGAGGGCUUAACUGUCUCUCCCCUCUAAUCAAUGAAACUGAUCUCCCCGUGAAGAAGCGGGGAUAAAAAUAUAAGACGAGAAGACCCCAUGGAGCUUUAAACUCAUCACCAAUUACUUAAUCUUAAACCAUUACAAAGGGUAAAGAUGUUCUUGAUAGUUUUCGGCUGGGGUGACCCUGGAGUAAAACAAACCCUCCAGAAUGAAAGGAAUAAAUCCUAACCCAAGAAUUACAAUUCUAAGAAUCAAAAACUUGACAUUAAUGAUCCAAUUACUUGAUCAACGAACCAAGUUACCCUGGGGAUAACAGCGCAAUCCAUUUCAAGAGCCCCUAUCGACAAAUGGGUUUACGACCUCGAUGUUGGAUCGGGGUAUCCUGGUGGCGCAGCCGCUACCAAAGGUUCGUUUGUUCAACGAUUAAUAACCCCAC
rnacentral:rRNA from 1 species